rnacentral:lncRNA from 1 species
CUCAGGACAACUAGGUAAGUGUUUUCUUGUUUCCCCCUCUUUCUUUGGUGCACAGUCUGGCACGACUGAAGGUGGAUGUGUUGUUUCUCCCCCAGAUCAAGACUCAGAUCUGGGAUAGGGAGAUGGCGGAGUAGGGCAGGGAGGUCACUUACUUGAAAUACAGGUGUGGUCAUUUGACUUGCGUUUUUAUGGGUGUUUCCAGGGAUGAUGCGUGCAUUGUUUGUUGUCUAGAAGAUGACGUGGUGUUGCAACUCUUAUAGAAGUCCAUUAUUUUUCUGUAUCCAAGACUGGACAGGAUGGAAGCAAAGAGGCUGCCUGAGGGAUACACGAGGCAGAAACCAAUGGCUGCAAGACCAGAGACACAGAACCCUCCAAGGAGAGGUAAGGAGCAUGUUGUGAUGUGCCACAGUCUAAUUUCUGCUAUGCAGCCUGUUCCUGUGUGUGAUCAUCGUGUGGUCUGGAAAGAAUCACAAGCACUAAGGACGGCAGGUGGUCUGAAGAGGUGACAGAAGGGUGUUCUCCUCCGGUGCCGCAGACAGUGAGGCA